rnacentral:rRNA from 1 species
UACGAGAGCCUCGAGCGUUAUCCGGAAUUAUUGGGCGUAAAGGGUGCGUAGGUUGUUUUGUUAGUCUUUUGUCAAAGCCCGGGGCUUAACUUCGGAUCUGCAAAAGAUACGGCAAGACUAGAAAGUGUGAGAGGCGUACGGAACUCAUGGUGUAGGGGUGAAAUCCGUUGAUAUCAUGGGGAACACCAAAAGCGAAAGCAGUACGCUGGCGCAUAUUUGACACUGAAGCACGAAAGCGUGGGUAGCGAAU